UCAUGUAUUGUGUAUUUUUUAAGAGAAAGGUAUUUUUUAGAAUUAUUAGGUUCGAGAAUUAUCUAGACUUGGUGGUUCAGGAGUAGCACAAAGUACAAGGAAAGUGCUUUAUAAGGUUCUGGGCAAUGAAAUUGCACAAAAAUAUUGGGGCCAAACAGAAGAGAAGUUUGAAAUCAUUUUUAGUGGCCAAAAGCAAUUUUAGACUCCAUGAAAGGUCAAUUUCAAGAGUCAAAAGAAACCGAAAUUAUCAAUAUAAUUAAAAUAUGGCUUGUAAAAA
rnacentral:lncRNA from 1 species